AGUGAACGCUGGCGGUAGGCCUAACACAUGCAAGUCGAACGGCAGCACAGUAAGAGCUUGCUCUUACGGGUGGCGAGUGGCGGACGGGUGAGGAAUACAUCGGAAUCUACUUUUUCGUGGGGGAUAACGUAGGGAAACUUACGCUAAUACCGCAUACGACCUACGGGUGAAAGCAGGAGAUCUUCGGACCUUGCGCGAUUGAAUGAGCCGAUGUCGGAUUAGCUAGUUGGCGGGGUAAAGGCCCACCAAGGCGACGAUCCGUAGCUGGUCUGAGAGGAUGAUCAGCCACACUGGAACUGAGACACGGGCCAGACUCCUACGGGAGGCAGCAGUGGGGAAUAUUGGACAAUGGGCGCAAGCCUGAUCCAGCCAUACCGCGUGGGUGAAGAAGGCCGUCGGGUUGUAAAGCCCUUUUGUUGGGAAAGAAAAGCAGCAGGUUAAUACCCCGCUGUUCUGACGGUACCCAAAGAAUAAGCACCGGCUAACUUCGUG
rnacentral:rRNA from 1 species